GUGUCAGCAGCCGCGGUAAUACAGAGGGUGCGAGCGUUGUUCGGAAUUACUGGGCGUAAAGCGCGCGCAGGCGGGUCCUGUAAGUCGGAAGUGAAAUUUCGGAGCUCAACUCCGAAGCUGCUUCUGAUACUGCGGAUCUAGGGAUCGGUAGAGGUCGGUGGAAUUACAGGUGUAGCGGUGGAAUGCGUAGAUAUCUGUAAGAACACCCGUGGCGAAGGCGGCCGACUGGGCCGGAUCCGACGCUGAGGCGCGAAAGCGUGGGGAGCAAACAGGAUUAGAUACCCUGGUAGUCCACGCCGUAAACGAUGGGCACUAGGUGCCGGGGGGAGCGACCCCUUCGGUGCCGCAGCUAACGCGAUAAGUGCCCCGCCUGGGGAGUACGGCCGCAAGGCUGAA
rnacentral:rRNA from 1 species